UCAUUAAGAAGCUUUCAUGGAGAAAGCAAUAGCCUUUUAAGCUAAAGACCGGUGAAAACCAACCACCCUUAAUGAC
rnacentral:tRNA from 1 species